rnacentral:rRNA from 1 species
UACAGGGGGGGCAAGCGUUGUUCGGAAUUACUGGGCGUAAAGGGCUCGUAGGUGGCCAACUAAGUCAGACGUGAAAUCCCUCAGCUUAACUGGGGAACUGCGUCUGAUACUGGAUGGCUUGAGUUUGGGAGAGGGAUGCGGAAUUCCAGGUGUAGCGGUGAAAUGCGUAGAUAUCGUCAGGAACGCCAAUGGUGAAGACAGGUGACUGGGCUAGAUCUGACACUGAGGCACGAAAGCGUGGGGAGCGAACGGG